rnacentral:lncRNA from 12 species
CUGGGCCGUGUCAGAGGUUUAGGCCUGGUUCUUGAGCUCCUGGAGCCUAGACACACAUAUAUAUGCCUUUUAAACUAUAGUCUAUCAGGCUCAAAGUGUGCGCACUUUAUUUUUGAUCAUGCCACCUGUGACACUUAGAAUAUUGCUACUAUGGGACAUUUUUUAAAAGUCUAUUUUAGAGGUUCAUAUUUUAUUUCAUGUUUUAACUUGGUUUCUUUUUUAGAUGUUUUACUUCAGAGUUAAGUUCUUUUUUUUUUUUUUUUUUAACUGAGAUAAUGUUGCAAAAAACCCAUUACCUAUACUUAGUGUUCUGUAGUGUCCAUGGCCUGUCAAGAGAACAGCGUUGGCGUUGAGCUCUCAUUAAUUUUCUAGAGACUGUGCUGGGAAACUUACCUCAGAAAUAAAGAAAAGGCCUUGAGCCUUUAGGUUUGGUACCUACCCUUGCUACCUUCAUUAUUCUGUGGGCUCCUGACCUUCAGUCUUUGCUAUGUCCCUCUUCUGCUCCCCAGUGGCUUCAGGCUUGCUUCUGCUACCACUACCUAUGUCUCUCCUUUCCAUCAGAUUCCAUCAGCAACAUGAAGGCUGCCCACCACCCUCGUCCUGAAAGCACCAUGUGCUUUUCCACAGCAUCAUUGUGCAUGAAUGGAACUUCAGAUUUACUGGUGGCCAUAGAAGUCCCCUUCAAGUCUACUGCCAUGCCACCCUGGAGGCACCUGAUCUCAUCUGAUCUCCAAAGCUGAGCCUGGUUAGUACUUGGAUAGGAGAAGUCUGCUUCAAAAUCUAUGCAUCUCGUUACCCCUCAGCCCUAAUUCUGAUUUUAGGAAUCUUUCCUCUUCACCAGGCACUGACUGUAUGACCUGUGGUGUCCCCUUAAGUCUCAUUAUUGCAUCAACUGUCACGUGAGGCAACAAAAAACCCGAAAUGGUUAAAUUGGACUUCUGGUACCACAUUACUGCUCUGUUGGAGAAUCAGGGGUCUAAUCUGGUUUCUACGACUUAAAACUAAGCAGGUUAUCUUUCUAUUCCACCUGGCCAUCUUGCAUGUCAUAGAAUGAUAAAGAGAAAAGAAAAGAAGAAAGAAAAGAAAAGAAAGAAGAAAAGAAAAGGAAAGGAAAGGAAAGAAAUGGGUCUAAAAUACUGAGACUAUAUAUCUCUAAUAUCUCCCAAUAAGUUUGCCUACAACAUGUUUUUAUGUUAAUUAAACAAAGAACUUUUGCUUUAAUUUUUUUUCAAUUUAUCAUUCUAACGGAAAGGGCCACUCUAUAACAUUUAUUGAAUAGUUUUUAGAGAACUGUCGCAAUCAGGGUGUCCUGGAUUGUUAUACGUUCUUAUUUCCACUAAAAAAUAUAUGAUCUGAAAUUGAAUUUCCGUACUAACUCCAUCAUAGGAUACAUAUAAACAAAACGGAUACUCCAUAUUUAGAUGGUGAGUACUUUGUUUUCUCAUUCAUGUAUGCAUACAUGCACCAUUGUAGUAAAUACCUGAAUGACAAUCUGAUAACAUAGUGGCAACCCUAUGUUUUCCUUAAACUGAAGUUGUCUUUCGGGUUCAUUGGUUUCCAUGGGCAGAGCUCACAAUAUGAAGUAAAUAAAAGUUCUUUCAUUCAUUUGUUCUUCA